rnacentral:rRNA from 1 species
UCGCGACCCCAGGUCAGGCGGGACUA